GGCGGUUCUCAGGUGAUGCACCCCAGAUCAGGCUCUGGUUCUGGGAUGCGUCACCCGAGAACCGCC
rfam:Myotis lucifugus cont2.41376, whole genome shotgun sequence.